GGUGGGAUGACCGAAAAUAGGUAAUAAAUUGUAAAUUUAUGUAUGGAUUAUUCCUCCCACUA
rnacentral:tRNA from 1 species